CUAACAUAAACUGUCCCUCUCGACUUGCCAUAGGUUGACAUUACAUGAUCAAACAUGGCUGCACACAAAAUGAACAAAUCAAUUUUGUCAUUAGGACAAAUAAAUGGUCGCAUUUAUGGAAUUCAUGCGCUUAACCCGUUAAAUAGGGCUACAUACGCGACGGCCUUGUCUACUAAUAAUUCUAGUCAGAAUAAAGGUGGGUGACCCCAGGACAGAUAGGAUGCCUGUAGACCAGGACUGGACAGCAGUGUACCCGAACGCUGCCCCCUUCAGACAGGGCUCUGUGCCCCUGCCUGUCCGCAUGGGCUUCCCAGUGAAGAGAGGGGUGCCUCCGGAGAAGAAGGGCAACCUAGAGCUCAAGAUUCCAAACUUUUUGCAUUUAACUCCAGCAGCCAUAAAGAAACACUGCGAAGCUCUGAAGC